CGGAGCGUAGCGCAGCCUGGUAGCGCAUCUGCUUUGGGAGCAGAGGGUCGCAGGUUCGAAUCCUGCCGCUCCGACCA
rnacentral:tRNA from 4 species